ACGGGUGAGUAAUGUCUGGGGAUCUGCCCGAUAGAGGAGGAUAACCACUGGAAACGGUGGCUAAUACCGCAUAACGUCGCAAGACCAAAGAGGGGGACCUUCGGGCCUCUCACUAUCGGAUGAGCCCAGAUGGGAUUAGCUAGUAGGCGGGGUAAUGGCCCACCUAGGCGACGAUCCCUAGCUGGUCUGAGAGGAUGACCAGCCACACUGGAACUGAGACACGGUCCAGACUCCUACGGGAGGCAGCAGUGGGGAAUAUUGCACAAUGGGCGCAAGCCUGAUGCAGCCAUGCCGCGUGUAUGAAGAAGGCCUUCGGGUUGUAAAGUACUUUCAGCGGGGAGGAAGGCGAUGUGGUUAAUAACCGCGUCGAUUGACGUUACCCGCAGAAGAAGCACCGGCUAACUCCGUGCCAGCAGCCGCGGUAAUACGGAGGGUGCAAGCGUUAAUCGGAAUUACUGGGCGUAAAGCGCACGCAGGCGGUCUGUUAAGUCAGAUGUGAAAUCCCCGGGCUUAACCUGGGAACUGCAUUUGAAACUGGCAGGCUUGAGUCUCGUAGAGGGGGGUAGAAUUCCAGGU
rnacentral:rRNA from 1 species